UAUCAUGAAACAACACAAUACAAACACUAGAUAAUCAAAGAGAGUUUUGAAUUCAGAACCCCACCUCCGGCAAAUAAUGUUUGAGUAGAGAGAAAGAGAGUGUAGAGAGAGAAAUGGGUUUACUUUAGUCUAUAUGAAUAAGAUCCGCCACAACCACGGUGGAUCGGAACGAGAUUCGCCACAACCAAGGUCUAUCUAAGGGAGAUCUGGGUUUUGUGGACAAGAAGACACACAAACACGACAAUAGUUAGGCGGUGGUCCUAUUGUUGUGGCGGCUAGGUGGUUGGGCGGCUUCAUCUGGGUUGCGGCGGUGAUUGGCGGUGAUCGAUUUGUCAUUUGUGUGGUAUGACGAUUAUGGAUCGGUGGUGGUGGGGAUAUGUUUGGGUGGUGAUUGUCGGUGAUCAGAGAUGGUUCGGUGGGAGUAGAAAGAAAGAAAUGGUAGUCGAUAAUUAAGGUUGGUUAAUUAAAGGUUUCAGGUUCGCCCAAGUAACAAAUUGAUUCCGUUAUUGAUUUUAGUUUCCUUCUUUUAAGUCUUUAUAUUCAUUUUAAAGCCCUUUUACCUUUCCAGAAGAUGCAACCAAUUUUUUUAAUUUUUUAUCAUCAUUUAUUAAUACAACCAAAUGUUAGAAACAUGUUUUAAGUAUACCAAUUUGGUGGAUGAAUUUUCCAAACAUAGUGGUAGUUAGUAUUGUUAUUUUUUUGCCAAAACAAAUAAUGUAUAGGUUUUGAUUUGAACCUAAAAUUGUUAAUAUGCUUUUUAUAUAGUGACGACGGGCCAAUGGAUUGCUCCAUUUACUCGUCUUGGGCUAUUAUCAUGCAGGCCCAACAGUAAAAGGGCCCAAUGAUAUAAAACUUGCCCAUUAAGGUUUCUCUAUUAGAAACGAGCGGGAAAAAGAGGAUGGAAAAGGAGACUGCAUGCAUUUAAUGAGGUGAUAAGAAAGGCAUCUCUGGCUGGCAUAGUACUUCCCAGCCGGUGGCAUUAAUUAAGGGCGAUCAUCUUCCCGUUGGGGCUCAGACACGUGUCUGAGUUCCCCAAUGGUGCUCAGAGUCCGUUAGAUCGUCUCAUAAAUAUCCCACAUGCAAGAUAAGGCCUCCCGGUUAUAUAAGGAAGGUAAGAGACAACCAAAGGGGCAGGUCCAAGGUAUCACACUAAAUACUCUCUCAUUUAUUCCGACCGAUAUUCCUCUACAUUAAAUACACACACAUAUUUAUUAGAUUCACACCAUAGAGAAAUAUUCCGGUGAUCACACUCAACGGAAUAAGCUUCUCAAACUCUCCGGCAAGUUUACUUACUCUCACGCCGGAGCUUGGUCACGGAUCCCCCUCCCGGGGCCCUCCGUGACGAGGCUAACGGUUUCUUUUUUGUAGCAGUUGAAGGCUGGGAUAUUCCGACGUCAGCGAAGACCCUUUGAACGUCAUCAGGGAUUUGGGUAUUCGACAUUGGCGCCAUCCGUUGGACUAUUCAGUCUAGCUGGUAUUUCCACUCCAAAACUCCGACGUUGUAAUAACCCAUUUCACGAGAAACAACAUGGCAACACCACCAAGCUCAUGAACCAUCCAAACGGUGCAAGACGAUCGUGAUAAGGUCACCGUGGAAGACAUCACCCAUGAAGAAGAGAAUGAAAACCAGGUGGAAACCCUAGAAAGGGAGGAAGCCAUCACUCCAGAUUUUGUGGCCAUGCACAGGGAAAAGUUGAAAAAACAUCUCGAGGAUCUAGAAAGAUAGGAGAGACUUGACAGCCUCAGGGCCAGACUAUCCUUUGACACACCAUCCAACCAGGAAGGGGUGGAUCCACAAAGCAAAAACGGUGGCACUGACCCUCUAGAAACCUUCAUGACAGCCCUCAGGCAGAUGUCCUCGAAAGAGAGAGAAGAUCUCAUUACAGGGA
rnacentral:lncRNA from 1 species